rnacentral:rRNA from 1 species
AUCUGGUUGAUUCUGCAGUAGUCAUAUGCUUGUCUAAAGAUUAAGCCAUGCAUGUCUAUAUAAGCACUUUAUACUGUGAAACUGCGAAUGGCUCAUUAAUCAGUUAUCGUUUAUUUGAUAGUACUUACUACAUGGAUACUGUGGUAAUUCUAGAGCUAAUACAUGCUGAAAACUCGACUUCGGAAGGGGUGUAUUUAUUAGAUAAAAACCAAUGCCUUCGGGGCUCUUGGUGAAUCAUAUACUUAACGAAUCGCAUGGCUUGCGCCGGCGAUGGUUCAUUCAAAUUUCUGCCUAUCAACUUUCGAUGGUAGGAUAGUGGCUACAUGGUGGCAACGGGUAACGGGGAAUUAGGGUUCGAUUCCGGAGAGGGAGCCUGAGAAACGGCUACAAUCCAAAGGAGGCAGCAGGCGGCAAAUUACCAAUCCGACACGGGGAGGUAGUGACAAUAAAUAUGAUACGGGCUCUUUUGGGUCUCGUAAUUGGAAUGAGUAAAUCUAAAUCCUUAACGAGGAAUUGGAGGGCAAGUCUGGUGCAGCAGCCGCGUAAUUCCAGCUCCAAUAGCGUAUAUUAAGUUGUUGCAGUUAAAAGCUCGUAGUUGAACUUGGGUCUGGCUGGCCGGUCGCUCACCGCGAGUACUGGUCCGGCUGGACUUUCUUCUGGGGAAUCUCAUGGCUUCACUGGCUGUGGGGGGACCAGGACUUUUACUGUGAAAAAAUUAGAGUGUUCAAAGGCCUUUGCUCGAAUACAUUAGCAUGGAAUAAUGAAUGGACGUGCGGUUCUAUUUUGUUGGUUUCUAGGACCGCGUAAUGAUUAAUAGGGAUGUCGGGGGCGUCAGUAUUCAGCUGUCAGAGGUGAAAUUCUUGGAUUUGCUGAAGACUAACUACUGCGAAAGCAUUCGCCAAGGAUGUUUUCAUUAAUCAGGGAACGAAAGUUAGGGGAUCGAAGACGAUCAGAUACGUCGUAGUCUUAACAUAACUAUGCGACUAGGGAUCGGACGGUGUUUCUAUUAUGACCGUUCGGCACUUACGAGAAAUCAAAGUUUUUGGUUCUGGGGGGAGUAUGGUCGAAGGCUGAACUUAAAGAAUUGACGGAAGGGCACACCAGGCGUGGAGCCUGCGGCUUAAUUUGACUCACACGGGGAACUCACCAGGUCAGAAAAAAGGAUUGACAGAUUGAGAGCUCUUUCUUGAUCUUUUGGAUGGUGGUGCAUGGCGUUCUUAGUUGGUGGAGUGAUUUGUCUGCUUAAUUGCGAUAAGAACGAGACCGGCCUUAAUAGCCGGUCCGCAUUUGCGGGCGUGGCUUUAGGGGGACUAUCGCUCAAGCGAUGGAAGUGCGCGGCAUAAAGGUUCUGUGAUGCCUUAGAUGUUCUGGGCGCACGCGCGCUACCUGAAGGGCCAGCGAGUACAUCACUUGGCGAGAGGUCUGGGUAAUUUGUUAAACCCUGUCGUGCUGGGGAUAGAGCAUUGCAAUUAUUGCUCUUCAACGAGGAAUGCUAGUAGGCAGAGUCAUCAGCUCGUGCCGAUUACGUCCUGCCUUUGUACACCGCCGUCGCUACUACGAUUGAAUGGUGGUGAGGCUUCGGACUGGCUCAGGAGGGUUGGCAAGACCCCAGAGCGGAAAGUUGGUCAAACCCGGUCAUUUAGAGGAAGUAAAAGUCGUAACAAGGUUCCGUAGGUGAACCUGCGGAAGGAUCAUUA